CAUUGUCCCAAUCAGUUGAUCAAAAACGCUACCUCCAUUAGCUUUUUCAUUUUUAGCUUAUUGGCCCAAUCAGCCAAGACUAAUAGACUAUUUACCAAACACUUCAAAACAGCUUAUUGAUAAGUCAAACAGAUAAAUUUAGUCAAAUCAACUAAAAUUUAACUUAUCAGCCAAUAACCAAACACCCCUAUAUGUUUUUUU